CAGAGUACAAAGCGCUCUCCUGUCCAGUGGUCUUUUGACUCCAGGCAGACAAGGCUCACCCAUGGACGGAGGCCACAGACAACACUGGAGUCAUUUCUAAAGUGCAUUACUGGAGCAGCAUAGUUGUGUUUCGCAAAUGCACCGAAGUGGAGACUUUUUGGAGAACUUAAAUAGCUUUAGCAUAAUAAGUCAGCUUUCUUAGCGAUCUCUCUUCUUCAGGACGUCUGCUCCCCUACCCCGUAAGCUGUCAGACAAGGACUGUCCGUGAAGACAAAGUUCACUACUGGGUCCGUAGUGGAUGUCCCAGUGCACUGCGUCUAUAAUCACCGUAAACAUUGGCCUAAAGGCUGAGGGUUGAACUGCAGACUCCAAGUCUCUGGGCAAGUCUGGUGAUCGAACUACAACUUGAGAGGCACCUGCCCAUCUGAGGAUGCACACCCAGAAUUCCACGCCAGUGUCAGGAGCGCUGCUUCCUAUGAGAGAGCAUUGGGACUACCCUCUGCCACCACCUCCAUCCUCUGUCGACGACCCCUCCAAUCACCGAGCCUCUGGCGGUGGCUCCCAAGAACAAGAGGGGUGACAAGUUUGGAUGGGGGAAGGCGAGAUGGGGAGAGGAGAAACUCCUACAGGUAAACAGCCAGGAGCAUACCUCGGGUCUUGGGUUCUCUCCUCCCUGCCUGUGUCUUUUACUGCACGACAAGGUAAAGUCUCGGAACCUGAGUUUGUGCAUCUGUAGAGCAGAGUUCAAAGCGCUCAGUUCAAAGAAUUGUGAGAAGUAAACAGUGUUUGCAAGAUUGCUGCUGUCAGGCUGGCGCCACAGCUCACUAGGCUAAUCCUCCGCCUUGCGGUGCCAGCACACCAGGUUCUAGUCCCAGUCGGGGCACCGGAUUCUGUCCCGGUUGCCCCUCUUCCAGGCCAGCUCUCUGCUGUGGCCCGGGAGUUCAGUGGAGGAUGGCCCAAGUGCUUGGGCCCUGCAUCCCAUGGGAGACCAGGAUAAGUACCUGGCUCCUGCCAUCGGAUCAGUGCGGUGCACCCGCCGCGGCGGCCAUUGGAGGGUGAACCAACGGCAAAGGAAGACCUUUCUCUCUGUCUCUCUCUCUCACUGUCCACUCUGCCUGUCAAAAAAAAAAAAAAAAUCACUGCUGUCAUCCCUGUCCAAGCAACUGCGUCUACCCCAGGACCAAACGUCACCACGAAGCUCUGCCCCAAACCUCCUGCCCCUGUGGAGACUGUGGUGUACAGCUGUGCUGGAAGUGGGUGAAGUGCCACGUCCUGGCUGCAUUCUGCUGGGAGCCCGCAGAGAGUGACUUUCUGCUGGAAGUUGGUGUCCCCAGAUGGCAGGGACCGAAGGCACAGCUGCAGAGACAGAACAGCCAGAGGAGCUGGUGCUGCCACUUCAAAAGAAAGACAACCAUUGCCCCAGAAAAUGCGCGUCUGCAAUUUGCAAUCUACAGGAUGAAGGACAGGGGCUUACAAUGCCCUCCUAUAAUGCAAAAAUACAGAUGCUGAAGACCACGGGCUUGAGGUGUUAAGUUUGCACAACUGCAGAUGGGCAGCUGAGAUUUUUCUGAGAUUGGAAUGAAGUCGCUGGGUAUAAGAAAGGGACAAUGCCAACUCUCAUGGCAUAGUAGAGACAAAAAGAGCCAAGGAUGGCAAGUGCCAACUCACUGUCUAUUCCUGGCUCCCACUUUAUUAAAAAGCCCCCCUAUAAUGCUGGGGAGCUUCAGCUGUAAAACUGUAUUCCUUGCAAUAGGAUUGACUGAUAACUUGUAAGCAGAAGUUACUGGGUGGAGUGUAAUAGCCUUUCCUGCAGGUGUUCCAGCAGCCAUCUUAUGUCCAUGAGGCAAUCUUGAGUUUGGAGGACGGAGAAGAGCGGAGCAAGAAGACGGGGUCUGAGACACUGGUGGCACUGUUGCUACUUCCCUCCCCUCUGGACUGCUUGCUUCUGGUCUUGUUUCUAUAUGCUCACAACAGAAAUGCUCAUUUGUUUAAGCGUCUGUUACUUUGGCUCAAAGUUACCACUUAACUGAUAUUCCCAUAGAGCCUAGAUUUCCAUUAUUUUCCUUAUGAGUGAGAUUAAAAUUAGUAUUUGAAUCAUAUUACCUCUGGGGGAGAAAUUACUACACAGGAAUCCUUGUGUUAAAUUAACUGUUAAUGGGCAAGUGUUCGGCCUAGCAGAUAAUACACCCAUCGAGAUAGUCCCAUUCUUUGUGGAUUUGAGUCUUGGCUCUCAGUCUCGAUUCUAGCUUCCUGCUAGUGCAGACUGGGAGACAGCAGCUGAUGGCUCAGACAGUUGGAUCCCUGACACCCAAGCAGGAGGCCUAGAUUGAAUUCCUGGCUCCCUGUUUGGGCCCCACCCAGCCUUGGGUGGUUUGGGGAAUAAAUCAGAGGAUGGGAACUCACUCUUUCUUCCUCUAUCCAUCUCUCUCUAAUAAUAUUCAAUUUAAAAUCUUGCUAAAUAAGACUUACACUAAAAAUCCUAAUUCCAAGUGUGGGUAAAAUCCUUACCUCGUCUUUCCCUCGUCUUUACAAAGAGCACCCUCUAUGAUAGAUGGCCCUGUGUGCUGAGAACAGCAUCUGACAACUGAUUCCAAGACGUCACGAAGCACCGGACAGGCAGGUUUUGCGAGAAUCUUCAUCAGUAGUAACAUGGGAAACGCAGAGUCUCUACAGGUAGUGAUUUCCCUGAGUAACCAAAGAAGAGCAAAGGCAGAAGCUCUCCGCGAUCCAUGAAAAGGAGAAAGAUGAGUAUCUUUCAUUCAAAGCAAGCAUCCCAAAAUUCUUUAAUUAUAAGCUCAAAGGGGCUUUGCGCUCAUCCUGAAUCUUGGUUUCCAGCAGGACGGCAUUUAAGCCUUCCUAAAAAGAUAAGACUCAACCUAUUUUUAGACAUUUCCAAAGAGCAUUCCGCUGUCUGUGCCUUUCUUAGACAGGUGAAGAUUUUCUUCCUUCUAACCUCACCACAGGUGAGCUUUUCCCAUUGCUGACCUCAAGCUUUUGGCAGAGUUUGGUGUGGUUUGCUCCGUGGAGAUGGUGAGCCAUCAGUCUCUUCCAAGUUGCCCUCUAUUGUCCGUCUGUAGGAAAUUAUGACAACCAAUUGGGAUAUUUGUAUUUAAAUCCAUACAGUUGGAGCCAGAUGCUGGCCAAGUGACUCACAGGCAUGGCAAAAACAUCGCCACCCUUCUUUUUGUCACACCGGUCCAGCCUCUGCCAUCGGGCGCAGUGCCAGCCUUUCUCCCUUCUCUCUCUCUCCUGCAAAACUCACGCCACACAUUCUGACACGCACAAUGCAACAAAGGUGGGCAUCAACCGAAGACCACGGUGACGGCAGGUGCUCAGCCCUCACACCUUGGCUCCUGCUGUUCACAUCAGUGGGUCAUGGACCUGGCUCUGGGAACUUGGACACGGUUCCUAAUCUCACUGGGGAAGCAUUUUGUCAUCUAGAAUGGAGACAGUGACAGCGUCUACCUUAUAGGGUUGUGGAAAGGAUGAAUGUGUGCACCGUGUGAGGCUUAGAAUGGCGUCUGCUGCUCUAAUCCUGCUAUAUACUAGGCGUGUUUAAAAAGUUCAUGCAAGAAGCCUACUAUGCAUGGGUUUCAAAUGUUUGUGUAACAGAAACGUCUUACCUUUCAAUUUCAUUUCCCACUAACUUUGCGAAUCCACCUCCUGGUUGUCAGGGAAAAGAGGAGUGAGGGAGGAAAGAGAGACAGAUAAAGGACAAGAAAAAAGACAAGGAAAGGAAGGAAAAGACAGAAGAAAGGGGGAAUGAGUAAAACGGUGAGCAUGAAAAAGAAGAGAGGAAAAGGAGCAGCAAGAAUAACGAAGGAGAUCACACGUUGGCAAAGAGCGCGUCGACAGCCCGAGCUUGCAUCAGCAGCGGAAAGGUGUGGAAAAGGAAAACAAAAAAUGUUGGCUGUGGGAAGAGGGACGCUUGGAGCGGAACGCAGGGGAAGACAAGUUUUUGUGAAAGCUUCAUUUGCGGGCACAGCGCCUGCUUGAAAUCGUGGGGCGUUCACCUGCUCACGGAACCCUAGAUGCUCAGGGCUCCGGUCCGGGUCCCUCCUGCCCCAACCAGUUGUGGGGCAGCCCUGGACUUGGCCCUCGGAUUUGCCCUGCAGGAUGCCUGCGUGCUGUCUCGCUGCUCCAGCGGCCCCGCCAGGAUGCAAGGAUCCUGUCUUCAUUGCGUUCUCCCUAUAUAUUCAUCGUUUGUGAAGUGGCGUUCUGGAACAAAAUUUUACACACACACACACACACACACACUCCCCUCUACAAGGGGCUGGGGUCCUGAAUUUUCAAUUAUUCACUUUAGUGACCUCACCUCCCCCCCCCCGCCCCGCCCUUCCCCCCUUUCACUUUUUGGUGCGUUAAGAAGCAGAGGAAAAAAUGACACAGUGCCGCAGGGAGAAGCCGCUCUUAGGGUUCCAACUUGCCCUCCUCAUCAGAGGGAAUUAAUCAUCUAGCCGCUUGGAAACCGGGGGAAGAGCGGAUCGGGUUUUGAAAUAAAAG